UAUACAACGGAGAGUUUGAUCCUGGCUCAGGAUGAACGCUAGCGGCAGGCCUAAUACAUGCAAGUCGUACGGUAGAGAUUCUUUCGGGGAUCUUGAGAGUGGCGCACGGGUGCGUAACGCGUAUGCAACCUGCCUGUUACAGGGGGAUAGCCCGGGGAAACCCGGAUUAAUACCCCAUGGUAUUGGACGAUGGCAUCGUUGUCCAAUUAAAGAUUUAUCGGUAACAGAUGGGCAUGCGUAGGAUUAGCUGGUUGGUAGGGUAACGGCCUACCAAGGCUGUGAUCCUUAGGGGUUCUGAGAGGAAGGUCCCCCACACUGGCACUGAGAUACGGGCCAGACUCCUACGGGAGGCAGCAGUAGGGAAUAUUGGGCAAUGGGCGGAAGCCUGACCCAGCCAUGCCGCGUGCAGGAAGACGGCCUUACGGGUUGUAAACUGCUUUUAUCAGGGAAGAAAAAGGCCAUGCGUGGCAGAUUGCCGGUACCUGAUGAAUAAGCACCGGCUAACUCCGUGCCAGCAGCCGCGGUAAUACGGAGGGUGCGAGCGUUGUCCGGAUUUAUUGGGUUUAAAGGGUGCGUAGGCGGCCAUAUAAGUCAGCGGUGAAAGUUUGGGGCUCAACCCUAAAAUUGCCGUUGAUACUGUUUGGCUUGAGUGCGUUCUGGGUACAUGGAAUUUAUGGUGUAGCGGUGAAAUGCAUAGAUACCAUAAGGAACACCGAUAGCGUAGGCAUUGUACUGGGACGUAACUGACGCUGAUGCACGAAAGCGUGGGUAGCGAACAGGAUUAGAUACCCUGGUAGUCCACGCCGUAAACGAUG
rnacentral:rRNA from 1 species